rnacentral:rRNA from 1 species
GUGAAUCAUCGAGUCUUUGAACGCACCUUGCGCCCUUUGGUAUUCCGAAGGGCAUGCCUGUUUGAGUGUCAUUAAAUUAUCAACCCAAGAAGUUUAUUCUUUUUGUCGGCUUGGACUUGGGGGUUUGCUGGCUUCCUUCAGUGGAUGGUCUGCUCCCCUUAAAUGCAUUAGCGGGAUCUCUUGUGGACCGUCACUUGGUGUGAUAAUUAUCUAUGCCACGUUGACUUUGAAGCAAAACUUAUGGGAACCUGCUUAUAACCGUCCCUUGUGGACAACUUUAUUGACAAUUUGACCUCAAAUCAGGUAGGACUACCCGCUGAACUUAAGCAUAUCAAUAAGCGGAGG